rnacentral:lncRNA from 1 species
UUAUUUGGUGAUUUCUAUUAUUCUGUCUCUCAGAUCAUCUAUACCUUCUUUCUACAUCACCGAUUCUGCUUAGUUCCUUCUAGUGUAAUUUUUAGUUCAGUUAUUGCAUUUUUCUAAAGUAAUUGAUCAGAAGAAGGAGUGGCUAGGGCCAGAUCCAGGUUUGAACUGAGACUUCUCUUGUGCUCAAUGGCAGUCAUCCCCCUAUCAAAGGCAGAGUUGGUGCCCAAGGCGCUGGAGCAGAAGCCCUGAAGUUUGUAUCUGAGCUGGUUUCAUUCUAAUUGUGUGAAGUCUACUGGCAAUGGCAGCUUUCAUCCUGUUGGAGAGCAACACCAGUGCCAGAAAGGCUGGAGUCAGUGCCAGGUGUUUAAUAUUAUCCAACUGCCAUAAAGUUAAAGCUUUCUUUUUGAAAUUUGAACCUAAAUUCCACUGAACACAAGAUGAAAAUGUGGUUGCUGUUCAGUCUCCUUGUAAUAAUAUCNNNNNNNNNNNNNNNNNNNNNNNAGAAAUAUCCUGUCUAUAACAUGUAACUUCCACAAUUUAUGUCAAUGUAAUUAAUAUUCUUUUCACUAUAUUGAAUCUGGUGUAUAAAGUUCAGAAUUAAUAUUUUCUUUUGCCAUCUGGAUCAGGCAAGUAAAUGCAUAUAUUUUAAGGCUGACACUUUUGUUCUUUUUUCUUUUUAGUUUCAAUUAAAAUUUCAUAAGAUAAGUUAAUCAAUCUUAUAUAGUGAUGUGCUGGUAAAUGUUUAAAAUCUGAAUAUCUGGGAGGGAAAAAAUAUCCCUGCUGUAGCAUUUGUCAAUUCCUACAGAGUAAAUUGUCCUACUGUGUCAUUUUCAACUUGAAACCAUUUAAGGUGGUGGGAGUAAAGUUAUGCAACAACACACCAUUAUAUAGUAUGUUCACUAUAGGGGGUAAAAUCAACUUAACCUCAUUAGUAUACAUAAAAGUAAAAUAUAGUAAAAUAUUAGAAAAUAAAGGGUAUUAAGCUUUUGAUACCUUUGUUUAUUUUUAUAAGUUAAUAUAAUUUAAUUUUUAUUAUUGGCUGGUCAAUCUUUUGAAAAACAAUUCAAAAAUAAUCUACAGUGUAUUCAAGGACUUAAGAAUAACAAUGCAGUUUUAAGUAUACUGUAGUUUUAGGAAAAAAACACUAUAUGUCUAUUUUUCAAAGAUAAGUGUGAAAGAUUAAAAAAUAUUUUCUAAAGGAACAUUGUAUUUUUAUCUGAAGCAGUGUGUUUUCUAACAAUAUUUUCUAAUACCUCUGUUUCAGUUACCUUAAUUCAGCACUUGGUGAGUUGCUAUUAAGUUCAAGAUAUAGAUGGAUCUCAUAUUUUCAUUUAUGAACCUCCCUUGAUUGCUUUAAUAAUGAACUUGAUGGGCACACACAUAUAGAACUAUUUGCAUAUAUGCAUACAUAUUAUUUAAAUAUAAUAAAGAAAAAUUUGUGGUAAGGUUAUUGCUGUCUACAUUUAUAAAUAGAAUAAAACAAAGAUAUUCUUAUUAGUACUGAAAAUUCAUGCCAAUUCUUUAAAAUUUUGGCGCUGUAAUUAUAAAAGUGCAAAGAUAAGAAAUAAAUAUUUCCAAAGACAUGGUCAUACUUCAGCCUUAAUGGUGAAGAGCUGAUAAUCUAAUUUCAUUAACUAAUAUCUCGAUUAUUUGAAUAACAUUUGAAAUCAAAACAAAGAGCAGCUUUGGGAUUAAUAUUUUUCUGUUUUUGUCUUUUUUUUUUCUUUUUAGAGUUUACAUGGCACAGAAGGUAUGGUCAUGGAGGUAAGUUGAUGAAAGGGUAAAUUUUUAAAUAUAUUUCUUCAAAUAAACCGUAUUUCAUCCCUACAUUAAGCUAUUAAGUUUUUAAACUUAUAGCAAGUGGUUACAAUUAGAGCACUUGGAAAUUUUGUUAAUGUUUUAUCUGAGGUCUUCAUGUAACUGAUUUGAUUACCAAAAUAAAUGAAUAGAUACACCACAAGCAAAUAUCGAAGUGGAGGAUUGUAGCAGAUAGAAUAUAUUCAAUGCAACCUCUAUUUUCCCUUCAUGUUUUUUAAUAAUCCUAUAGUACUUAAUUUUGCAGCUAUAUUUUUAAUAUUGUAAAAUUCUAGCUUGUUUUGAAAGCCUUCAGCUUUGCUGCAAGAAGGAGAAUUAACGUUAAUAAGCUUGGAACCUUAAGAUUCAGUUUAAUUAGAAAUCCAGAUAGUGGAAAAUUUAUUGUUUAUCCUUCACUAAAUAUAAUUAGCGAUCCCGAUAGUUUAGAUUAUAUUUUAACCACUGAAUAGUUCUUGCUAGAAAUAUAGACUGGAAAAAAUAGAGUCUAGAGUAAGAUCAGUCUGGACUUACAUAAAAACCUGGUAUUCACUAUGUGAUCUUGGGCAAAUUAUUCAAUUUCUAUGAGACUUAUGUUUCCUACAUGUAAAAAUCACAGGAUUCUUGUGAACACUAAAAGUACAAUGUGGUGAUAACUUACAGCACUGCU